GUGUGCAAGCUUCUACGGAGUUUAUAUCAAUUUCCUUUUUCACGUCAAAAAAUCACAUGUAUUACUAUCUAAUAUUAAAGAAAUUCUUCCAUUUAAUAACCUUAACACACACAAUCUCAAAAUACAUCCAUUCACUUCAAAACAACUUAGACGAAAUCAUUAUUUCAAGUUACCAAUGGCAUUACAAACUAGUCCCAAAGUCUUGCUAUCUCUCGAGUCCAUAUCAUGAACGUCAACGUCAUCUAAUAGUUGUCAUUAACCUAGUACUCCUUAGAAUCUAUUUUCUAGGGUCAAAAGAUAAUUAAUGGAUAUGUAAAGGUUGAAAUCACAUUACAAACACAAAUGGACAGAAUCUGUUUUUAGAUUUCUAUUACCGUCCAAUUAUUUUUCCAAUCCUUUUUCACCCCCUUAACUAUAUCCAACGACUCCCAAAUUUUUACCACACUUCUAUAACAUGUAUUUGAAGGUAAUCAGGUCAUAAGGUUGUGACAAAUGAAGGGUUUUGAGCUCCAAAAAUGGUCCAUUUUUCACUACACAAAAUCAGGCAGUUUUAUUUUCCUUGUGACAGUUUUCGGUUUCUAUUGUAUUAGUAUGAUACUAAUAGAAUUCUAGGCCGUUAAAAAUCAUUUCUACAUUUUAUACUUACAUAUAAAAACGUUCAUAUUGAUAUAUAUAAGUUAUACACUAAGUAUCAUCCCAAAAUCAAGGUACAAACCACUCAAAUCCAGCAACCUACAUCUCUGCUCAAGUUGUUUUUCCUCAAGUUCUUAUAAUUAAUUAACCCUAUUUUGGCAUCGUAAAAUCAUUAUCAACACUCCAACCUAAUCAUAAGAAAGUUUAUAUGUUCAAAAAAUUAUAAACCCCUUAAGAAAUAAUGGAUACAAACCUCAAAACCGUGAAGUAACAAAGCUAUCCAGAAAUUCCAGCUUCUUGUUUUCUUAUCCCUUUAUGCUUCCUUUGCUUUCACGUCCACUUGGGGUUAUCUUUUCAGAGUCAUAUCUCUUAUUUAGGAGCUAUUUAAGGAGUCUUAAGGAUUUGGAUCAUGAGUGAUACUUAAAGGUGAAGGAAUUUGUGAUUACAAGACAAGUAUUCCCCAAGUAUGAGGUGUCCAAGCAGGAUGUGGCCCCUUGCAGCCAAAUCUGACUUUUCUCCUACCUUAUAUGGAGUCAUUUGUGGCUUAGGAGAUGCAUGAAUAUCUCAUAUAAAGUUCUAAUGAUUUAGAAGACGUGCUGGAUACCUUAAGGUUGAAGCAAUUAUAUAUUAAAGUGAUAAGUCUCCUAGCAUGAGCUGUCUAAGUAGGAUGUGGCUUCUUGCUGCAAUAUUUGACCUUUCUACCAUUGUAUUUGGAUUUAUUUGUGCCUUAUAAGAUAUCUAUAUCAGUCCUACACGAGAUCAUGCCUUAAGGUUAAAGAAAUUGAGUGUUAAAAUGACAAAUAUUUCAAGCAUGAGGUGGUCACUUGUAGUAAAAAUCUGAUUUUAUAUCUAUCUUUGCAGGUACAAAUCAAGUAUCCUUGGCUCAUUUUGACAUGUUUACAAUCUAUUGCACUUGUCCAAAGAUUCCAAAAUAUAUUAUAGGGCUAAUUCCUCAACCGUUCAUUUAAUUUCUUACCCGAUUGACAACCAAUAUCAACAAUUCGCACCUUAAUAUUUAUAACGUCAUAUGAGACAUAUAUUAUUGUGUUGUGAUCAUGUCAUUUCAUGCCUCAUGUCUCAAACAUGUCAAUUACCUAUCUAGGGUUUAAGGUAACCUCGAUCAACCGAAUGGAAAGUUUGAACUUUUGUCGAUACUAAUUUCUGACCUUCUCGGUUUUCCAUUACUUACCAAACCAAUUUUCAACAUUUAGCUAACCUAAUUUUCUAUCAUAACUCAAUGUAAAAUUCACCAUCUAGGUCGAGGAGUGGAAGAUUAUCACCAUGUAAGGAUUUUAAAGCCUUGGUGAUCGAAUGCACAAUUUUAAGAAAAAAUAAUUAGGAAAAUUGAUACAAAUGACAAUGUAAUUAGCAUGAAAUGCAUGAAUCAUAUUGGUCAAUGUAUAACGUGAAGCUCAGGGUAUUACAUUUCAAGUCCUUUAUUUAUGCAUUAUAAUAAUAUUGAGAUUUAUGUAUUUAAUUGAGGAAGAAGCAGUUUGUAUGCCACUGUUGCUAGACUAUGCCAAUCCUAUACGUAACAUGCCGCAUGUUGGAGAUAAGCUCUUUUACUUUCCUCAAGGUCACAAGAGUAUAAACAUGCCACAUAAGGUAUGGAAAGUGAAAUUCAAUUGCCUUUCUGUGGAGUUGAUGAAGUCAAAAUUAAAUAAGAACAACAUAGUCGCUCAAAAGUGUGCAUUUGAUUACAUAUAUGGCAUGAGGGAUUAAACAGUUUUAUAUGAAAUUGUUUUGAUAAGCUAUUAAGUGGUAUUUUGGAUUAACAUCUCGACAAUUAUAUUUAUUCGAAGUUAUGACAUUGAGUUUACUCAAAAUGUAUAUUCAUGGGUGGUUCUUUGUCAAAAAUAUACUUGUUGAAUUUUACCUAAAGCAGAUUUUUGAGGCAAUGACAGUUGCAAUUUGGUAACAAAGACCUGACUUUGUGAAGCUUUAGAUAUGAUACGCACCAAUAUACCUGAAUUAAACAACACCAUAUAGGCAAAUGCUGAGUUAGAUUCCAUGAUUUCAUGUGGAGUUACAAACAAGUAGAUUCAAACUGAGAGUUGCAUAUUUUCAGAUAGUUGGAUAGGUUCUUAAAGUUGCUUUUCUCAUAGGUACAUGAAAAUGUCUUUGCUUAGCCAAAUGAAAUCUUUUUCUAGAACAUUAUAUUGCAUGUUUGAACUACGAGUAUUAUUUCGAUGAAUAAAUAAUUUCAAAUAACUAGAGUUCAAUUCCUAGCUAGGAAAUGUAUGAUUACACAAGUAACAAAGUAUUGUUUCAGUGUUCUAUGGUUAUUUAUCCACUUGAAAUGGUAACUUUCUUAGGAAGGGAAAAAAUUGGGUAAUAUUUCAUUUUUGCAUUGGAAAUAUUGCUGUUAUUAACCUUGAUAGGUGAGAUGGGAAAUCCUAAAAUGGUAAGAUUAUAAGAGAAGAUUUUUCUUUUUUUGUUAAUCUGUCUUGGAGUUUGACAAACCUAAUAUGUUAACAAGACAUAAAUACGAUUUCUUGUAGCAGUCCAAACUAUGAAGUAACGCAAGGUUGGAUUAUUUUGCACUUGGCUUCAUCUUUGUUGAAGUUGUCGUUAAAGAAACUUCAUUAAAAAUUGACAGAUAGAGCUUUUCAAUCUAACUUCCAUUUGUCUCAUUUAUUUUGUUUUAUUAUAUAUUAACUCUUUUUCUAAAUAAUAAAUAUCAUAUAAGUUUUUUACACCCUCUCCCAAAUUUGUUGUUCUACUAUCACCUUGUGACUUUGUAAAUGUAUUUUGUAAACUAGAAAAGUAUCUACAUUUUUGUUUCCAUCCACAUUUUGUAUUUAGUAAUUUAUAAGAAUGUAAGAAAUGGACAUAAGUUUCACAAUUUCAUAUUUUUGCUCAUUAAGUUGAGAAUGAAAGUAUGUUGACCAAGUUUGUGCAGAUUCCUAAUUUGAAUGGAUGAGGCAUGUUCAUGCGAUUUUACUUGCAUAAUCAAACGUGUUUUGAUACGAUUCAUCAAAUGCGUGCAUCUUGUUGAUUAUAGUUUAGAAAAACCUAUUUGCUUUGUUGUGAGUAUAAGACUUCAAGAUGUUGUUAUCAUUUGACAGUGUCUUUUAAAAAUAAAAGGAUAAUUAAGAUUUUUCACUUCUUAUAAAAGCAUGUUUAUGUAGGGAACGUAUUAAGCGGUGGUGGAAGUACACCACUUCCAUAUGCUAUCGCUACAGACUGGGUUAACAUGGUGAAUGUCUUCUAGAGGAGGUUUGUAUCUACACGUCUAGGGAUUCCUAUGAUUUGUGGGUUUAAUGUUGUACAUGGACGCAAAAUGUCUAUAAUUGCACCAUGUUCCCACAUAAUAUUGGGUUUGGGGCCACUAGGCAAGUAAUAUAACACUCACUAUGUAAUAUUUCUUGGUAAAAUGUUCCUUCUUCUGGCACAUAAUUUAUAUUCGUGUUCAAAAUUUUUAAUUAGCAAAAUCUUAUAAUAUCAUGCUAAAGUCUUAUCCUCUAAUAUAAAUUGAAUAAAUAUUUAUGGAGGCUGUUUCAAGCAACAAUAUGAGCUAUGAGCGCAAAUUAUUCCAAAUAUAGAUAAAUAAAAACCAAUUGAACCUUUAUUUAUUCUGUAUUAUAGAAUCUUUAGCGUCCAUAUCAUUUUUUAUUUUUUUAUUUUUGUUUCUUUUUGUGAAGUUCAUAAUUGUCAUAAUGGGAUCACAUUUUGAUGUUCAGCUCACGGGAGUAUCAGAAUGUUGUUAUUAAUAAUUUGCUUUUUUUU